rnacentral:rRNA from 1 species
UACGUAGGUGGCGAGCGUUGUCCGGAUUUACUGGGCGUAAAGGAUGCGUAGGUGGAAAUUUAAGUGGGAUGUGAAAUCCCCGGGCUCAACCCGGGAACUGCAUUCCAAACUGGAUUUCUUGAGUACAGGAGAGGAAAGCGGAAUUCCUAGUGUAGCGGUGAAAUGCGUAGAUAUUAGGAGGAACACCAGUGGCGAAGGCGGCUUUCUGGACUGUAACUGACACUGAGGCAUGAAAGCGUGGGUAGCAAACAGGAUUAGAUACCCCCGUAGUCCCCUGAGCGGG